UGCGUAGGCGGACCUUUAAGUCAGUGGUGAAAGUUUGCAGCUCAACUGUAAAAUUGCCAUUGAAACUGAAGGUCUUGAGUGUAAAUGAGGUAGGCGGAAUGUGUUGUGUAGCGGUGAAAUGCUUAGAUAUAACACAGAACACCAAUUGCGAAGGCAGCUUACUGGGAUACAACUGACGCUGAGGCACGAAAGCGUGGGGAUCAAACAGGAUUAGAUACCCUGGUAGUCC
rnacentral:rRNA from 1 species